rnacentral:lncRNA from 13 species
AGCUAGCCAGAGCACUCCAAAUGAGGGGUUGAAAGCGAGGGCAAUAAGGGCAUGGCGUUUCUGACUCCAUCCUUCAUGUUGUAAAUGGGAAAGACCCUGGAGAGAUGGAGGGCAUCGACUCAACUCGGUGUAGCCAGAGCCUACCAGCACCUCUAUGCGCUACAAGUCAUACAAUGGUUAUGGUGUCCAUAUUAUGAUAGCCUCAGCCCAACUCUUUGUGACUUGGAGGCUUUGCUAAUAUGAACACUGUACUCAGUGGAGGCCCUGCAUUCCCUCUGAUCUGAUGACAACCGACGUGACCUUCACGUCCAACGCAGUGCCAUGGAAACACCCUGGGGGCGCUCCCGCCACCGCCGCUCUGGCCUACGUCCACCCGGGCUCAACUGGGAUAAACCUCACAGCGAACUCGAAUGUACCGAUGGACGCAGGGAAGCAUUACUAAUCAGAGACAUUUACCCAGAGACUGGACCUGUCGGGACCUGGACCAGUCAUCUUGACAAUGCUACCUACGACUCCAUUGAGGAUUCCGGGCGAGCCGGCAGACUGGAUUAAACAAUACAAUCUCUGAUGGCGAGAAAUCAAUGGACUGGAUGUGAUUUCCUAAGCUGAAAACAUUGUCUGACAUGUUGGCCAAUUAGGAGUGUCAAAAGGAGAUAUCUUUACCUCACACGAUGCGCUUUCACCUAAGAAGACGAGACGGUCCACAGCAACAUGUCUGUCUGUGUCUGUCUGUCUGUCUGUCUGUCUGUCUGUCUGUCUGUCUGUCCAAAACAAAGGGAAAAACAUGACGGGGUGAAAUCCUCCAUCAUCACUUCUAUUUGCCCAUCACAGUUUCUUGUAUGGACUUUUAGAUGAGCAUCCCAAUAAAACGCCAGUAAAUCUUACAGAAAUGAAUUGAGUCAGGUCAAGCAUUGUACACACAGUGCUCACGUAAUGCAUUGAGGACUCUUUAUACUGAACCCUCCACUCUUGAGUAAACUCAUCAUAUGAUUCGGGAGAAAAGCCUUCACAUCCUUUCUUAGUGAGGACUGCACACAUCCACUCAGCAAAACCGUUGUUUUUCAGAACUGCGUUAUCCACUGUCGGUCUCCUUCCUCCUCUUGAAAUGCAAUGGAGUGAAAACCUACAAAUAUCACAUACAGUACCUCACAUUAUCAACCCUCUCUUUGAUAAGUGCCUAUCUACAUUCAUUACACACUGAAGAUGGUUGAUAAAUGAAGAUGGUUCAUUCAAGCUGUUUCCCAUUUACCAAAAUUGUCAGUUCCCAACUACUUAAAAGGGGGUGGCUCUCCCAUAGACACCAAUGCGAUAGCAGCUGGUUCUGGUCUACUUGAAACAGAUUUUUCCAUUUAAGUU